rnacentral:rRNA from 1 species
GACGAACGCUGGCGGCGUGCUUAACACAUGCAAGUCGAACGGAAAGGCCCUGCUUUUGUGGGCUGCUCGAGUGGCGAACGGGUGCGUAACACGUGUGUAACCUGCUCUUGACUUUCGGAUAACUUCAGGAAACUGGGGUUACUAUCGGACAGCAUCUGCUGUUGCAUGGUGGGGGUUGGAAAGUCUCGGCGGUUGGGGAUGGAUUCGCGGCUUAUCAGCUUGUUGGUGGGGUAGUGGCUUACCAAGGCUUUGAAGGGCACCCGGCUUGGGAGGGUGACCGGCGACAAUGCGACUGAGAGACGGACCAGACGCCUACGGGAGGCAGCGGGGGGGAGUAUGACACAAUGGGCGGAAGCGUGAGGCAGCAACGCCGGGUGCGGGAUGACGGCCUUCGGGUUAUAAACCGCUUUCGCCUGAGACGAAGUGUGAGUGACGGUAAUGGGUAAAGAAGCACCGGCUAACUACGUG